rnacentral:rRNA from 1 species
GAUCCUGGCUCAGGAUGAACGCUAGCGGCAGGCUUAACACAUGCAAGUCGAGGGGCAGCGGGGAGUAGCAAUACUCCGCCGGCGACCGGCGCACGGGUGCGUAACGCGUAUGCAACCUACCUUUAACAGGGGCAUAACACUGAGAAAUUGGUACCAAUUCCCCAUAACAUUCGAGAAGGCAUCUUCUUGGGUUAAAAACUCCGGUGGUUAAAGAUGGGCAUGCGUUGUAUUAGCUAGUUGGUGAGGUAACGGCCC